GACGAACGCUGGCGGCGUGCUUAACACAUGCAAGUCGAACGAAGAGCGAUGGAAGCUUGCUUCUAUCAAUCUUAGUGGCGAACGGGUGAGUAACGCGUAAUCAACCUGCCCUUCAGAGGGGGACAACAGUUGGAAACGACUGCUAAUACCGCAUACGAUCUAAUCUCGGCAUCGAGGAUAGAUGAAAGGUGGCCUCUACAUGUAAGCUAUCACUGAAGGAGGGGAUUGCGUCUGAUUAGCUAGUUGGAGGGGUAACGGCCCACCAAGGCGAUGAUCAGUAGCCGGUCUGAGAGGAUGAACCGCCACAUUGGGACUGAGACACGGCCCAGACUCCUACGGGAGGCAGCAGUGGGGAAUCUUCCACAAUGGACGAAAGUCUGACGGAGCAACGCCGCGUGAGCGAUGACGGCCUUCGGGUUGUAAAGCUCUGUUAAUCGGGACGAAAGGCCUUCUUGCGAAUAGUGAGAAGGAUUGACGGUACCGGAAUAGAAAGCCACGGCUAACUACGUG
rnacentral:rRNA from 1 species